rnacentral:rRNA from 1 species
AUGGCGACCGCCGCCGGCCCCGUCGGCGGGCUGUCGGCGAAGGACGAGAUUAGGGAGGUGGAGAUGGAGAUCAUGAACCCGCCGGAGGAGGCGGCGGAGCGGGCCGGGCUGAAGAGGGCCUGGGGCUACGCGAACGCCGGCGCUUCUCAUGGUUUUAUUGGAGUGACUACUGCUGAAAAGGAGCCAACACUCCUGCCUCAUAACAAUGUCAAAUAUCUGAAGAAAGCUGGCAGUGGCAAUCUUCUACGUCCGGAUAUGCCAGAUACUAAUGCUUGGAGAUUUAGUAGCUCAUCUCCUGGUGGAGAUCUGGGGAGCAAAACCAGAACCCCUACGGGUACCUUUAAUGCUCAAGGCCAGUGCAAGAAAGGAAAUAAUUGCACUUCUCCUCAUGGAAGAGAGGGUUCUGGUUUUUGUAACCUGUGGAGUCAAGAAGAAAAUGCUGGUUCACUCACAUCAGUUGGUUAUGGGAAACAUAGAGGCUCUGAAGAAGGAUUUGAAGCACAAUGUGUAUCCAACUUGAAUGAUCUGCACAACUAUGGGCGAUAUAGGACCCUCAUUCAGUCUUAUGGCGAAGAUCAUAGGGGGCUGGCUCAUAACUCGCCCAACCUAAAUAUUUCAGAGGAGAGGUCUUGCAGAACUGAUAAUUUCUGGACUACAAAGCCUACCCCUCCUGUAAAUGAGCUGGUGCAGAUCUCAGUUCAAGGGAAAAACCACAAACCUAGUCUCAUGGGACACCAUAUUAGUUUGCCCUCUGAUAGCUACUUGGAUGGCAGGGGAACCUUAAGUAGAUUGCAUUUAGAUGGAGAAAAGCUGUUGCCGGAUCUGAAUGUGGCCAAAGCAAGCAGCCUAAGUGAUUCUCAUGUCUCUGAUUAUUGGCAUCGACCAUUUUACUCAUCUGUUUCAUUUGACUAUCCCCAGUAUGGUGAGAAGCGAUCUGCUUAUGGUGGACCAACAGAAAAUCUUCCUCACAAACAUCAGAAAGAACAUAGUUCAAGCUUUGCCUCAUACAGCUCAAACAGUAUAACAGGGUUCAGAAGUCCAGGCCACAAUAGCUCUGUUCAUUCCUUGGGUAGCCAACCUUCUCGAGGAAUUACUCACCCAGGAAUGCCGUCCCUUCAUCAGUUAACACCUGGUAUCGAGAAAUUUGGUCUCCAUAAAGAUGUAUAUUUUGACAAGGGCUGUGGUACAUCUAGGCCUGGGUUACGUGCAAGCAGUUCAUGUCAGCCUGAGCACCUUUCCCCAAUCAAGGAUGACCCUUGGGUAACUUCAGUGCCUUUUGUACCUCUUGUUGAGUUUCCCAACAGUGCAUCACCUUCAAAUAGUCCAUAUGACCCACUUGCUGACAGUAUGGACCCUCCCAAAGUUGAGAGUGGCAAUAUUCUCAAGUCCUCCAACAUAUCCUGCAGCAUUUCAAGUCAGCACACUGCUGGGAAUGGUGUUAUAGAUGGAGAUAUCAACAAAUCAUUGAUAUAUGAUAAGUUGGCAAGGAAUAUGUCGGCAAAAGGGUCAAAUGAGUUUGCAGGCUUGGUUGCACCUGGUAAGGAACGCUCUAGUCUGGAUGGCGAUACUUUGGUGAAAGCUUUUGAAAGAACCAAAGAUGGAGCAAUUGACGAGAAAACGAGGGAUUAUUUCCGUAUUCAUUUGGCAGAACAUGUGAAGGAGUUGCUGAAACCUAUUUGGAAGGAAGGCAAACUGAGUAAAGAUGCUCAUAAACUGAUAGUAAAAAAAUCUGUUGACAAAGUUCUUGCUACAGUUGACCUGCAUCAAGUACCAGCUACUAAAGAAUUGAUAACUGAUUAUAUAACCAUGUCUGGAACAAAGAUUGAAAAGCUUGUGAAGGCAUAUGUUGAUAGGCAUGGUACAAGAUGA